GCGGGGGUGGCAGAGCCUGGUCAAAUGCGCAAGGUUGAGGGCCUUGUCCCUUAGUGGGUGCAUGCGUUCAAAUCGCGUCCUCCGCA
rnacentral:tRNA from 1 species